UGCACACAGCAUCUGUCUCCAUGAAAACGAAGGAAGACGGCUGGCAAAAUUCACAGGUUCAUGAAAGGUUGGUAUCUCGUGAACACCUUUACACAAUCACACAUUAAAAAUCCAGACCCAACCCUUAGCAAACAAGCGAUUGCCCCUGCUUUAGAAAGUUAACUAGUUGCAAGUUUGCGGUAAAAUGCAGUUGGGUGGUUGAGGUCAAAACACUAUGUAGCAGCUGUGAAUCAAA